rnacentral:rRNA from 1 species
GACGAACGCUGGCGGCGUGCUUAACACAUGCAAGUCGAACGGAAAGGCCCUGCUUGCAGGGUACUCGAGUGGCGAACGGGUGAGUAACACGUGGGUGAUCUGCCCUGCACUUCGGGAUAAGCCUGGGAAACUGGGUCUAAUACCGGAUAGGAGCCAUUUUUAGUGUGAUGGUUGGAAAGUUUUUUCGGUGUAGGAUGAGCUCGCGGCCUAUCAGCUUGUUGGUGGGGUAAUGGCCUACCAAGGCGGCGACGGGGAGCCGGCCUGAGAGGGUGGACGGCCACAUUGGGACUUAGAUACGGCCCAGACGCCUACGGGAGGCAGCAGGGGGGAAUAUUGCACAAUGGGCGCGAGCCCGAUGCAGGGACGCCGCGGGGGGGAUGACGGCCUUCGGGUUGUAAACUCCUUUCGCUAGGGACGAAGCUUUUUGUGACGGUACCUAGAUAAGAAGCACCGGCUAACUACGUG